UACGUAGGGUGCAAGCGUUAAUCGGAAUUACUGGGCGUAAAGCGUGCGCAGGCGGCUUUGCAAGACAGAUGUGAAAUCCCCGGGCUCAACCUGGGAACUGCAUUUGUGACUGCAUGGCUAGAGUGCGGCAGAGGGGGAUGGAAUUCCGCGUGUAGCAGUGAAAUGCGUAGAUAUGCGGAGGAACACCGAUGGCGAAGGCAAUCCCCUGGGCCUGCACUGACGCUCAUGCGCGAAAGCGUGGGGAGCAAACAGG
rnacentral:rRNA from 1 species